GGAGAAGUCGCAUAGCGGUUUAUUGCACUGGUUUCGAAAACCAGCGCCUGAAAAGGCUUCGUGGGUUCGAAUCCCACCUUCUCCGCCA
rnacentral:tRNA from 1 species